rnacentral:rRNA from 1 species
AACGAACGCUGGCGGCAGGCUUAACACAUGCAAGUCGAACGAGAUCUUCGGAUCUAGUGGCAGACGGGUGAGGAACACGUGGGAACAUCCCUUUCAGUUCGGAAUAACGUUGGGAAACUAACGCUAAUACCGGAUACGUCCUUCGGGAGCAAGAUUUAUCGCUGAAAGAUUGGCCCGCGUCUGAUUAGCUAGUUGGUGAGGUAAUGGCUCACCAAGGCUACGAUCAGUAGCUGAUCUGAGAGGAUGAUCAGCCACAUUGGGACUGAGACACGGCCCAAACUCCUACGGGAGGCAGCAGUGGGGAAUAUUGGACAAUGGGCGCAAGCCUGAUCCAGCCAUGCCGCGUGAGUGAUGACGGCCUUCGGGUUGUAAAGCUCUUUUGUCCGGGAAGAUAAUGACUGUACCGGAAGAAUAAGCCCCGGCAAACUUCGUGCCAGCCGCCGCUGUAC